rnacentral:rRNA from 1 species
UCUAAGCCAUGCGAGUCAUUGUAGCAAUACAAGGCAGACGGCUCAGUAACGCGUAGUCAAUCUACCCUAUGGACGGGAAUAACCUCGGGAAACUGAGAAUAAUGCCCGAUAGAACAUUAUGCCUGGAAUGGUUUAUGUUUCAAAUGAUUUAUCGCCAUAGGAUGGGACUGCGGCCUAUCAGUUUGUUGGUGAGGUAAUGGCCCACCAAGACUAUUACAGGUACGGGCUCUGAGAGGAGUAGCCCGGAGAUGGGUACUGAGACACGGACCCAGGCCCUAUGGGGCGCAGCAGGCGAGAAAACUUUGCAAUGUGCGAAAGCACGACAAGGUUAAUCCGAGUGGUUUCUGCUAAAGAAACCUUUUGUCAGUCCUAGAAACACUGACGAAUAAGGGGUGGGCAAGUUCUGGUGACAGCCGCCGCGGUAAAACCAGCACCUCAAGUGGUCAGGAUGAUUAUUGGGCCUAAAGCAUCCGUAGCUCGUUUUGUAAGUUUUCGGUUAAAUCCAUGCGCUUAACGUAUGGGCUGCCGGGAAUACUGCAUAACUAGGAAGUGGGAGAGGUAGACGGUACUCGGUAGGAAGGGGUAAAAUCCUUUGAUCUAUUGAUGACCACCUGUGGCGAAGGCGGUCUACCAGAACACGUUCGACGGUGAGGGAUGAAAGCUGGGGGAGCAAACCGGAUUAGAUACCCGGGUAGUCCCAGCUGUAAACUAUGCAAACUCAGUGAUGCAUUGGCUUGUGGCCAAUGCAGUGCUGCAGGGAAGCCGUUAAGUUUGCCGCCUGGGAAGUACGUACGCAAGUAUGAAACUUAAAGGAAUUGGCGGGGGAGCACCACAAGGGGUGAAGCCUGCGGUUCAAUUGGAGUCAACGCCAGAAAUCUUACCCGGAGAGACAGCAGAAUGAAGGUCAAGCUGAAGACUUUACCAGACAAGCUGAGAGGAGGUGCAUGGCCAGCCGCACGAUCGCCUCCAACAGU